CGCGCUGAGGUAAGGUGGUGUACUUGUGUAUUAUUCUUUGUAAAUGUGGCAAAAAAAAAGGAUAGUUCUUGGUCUCUGUUUGUAAUAAUGCUUAAGCAGUUAAGCCUUGUGGAGAUAUCUGCGCAGUAAAUUUUAAGUAUUUGAAUGGUUAUAUAGUUAGAGUUUUGCAGUGAACAGGCCCAAACCGAGUCUCAAUCUGUCUGUUCCUCUUUUGGAAAGAUUCACAAUCCGAGGCCAUCUUGUACCUGUUUGUGCUAAUCGCUUACAUUUUGACUAAAGCGUUAAUGUUAAUUUGGUGGUGCAUUAUUAGGAGCGGGUAUUGACUUUUUUUUUUUUGCUUUCUUGUCUGGUUGAAUGACUUUGCUGAAGUUGUGCAUGCUGCAGCCAUAUCAGAUCUCUCAGUGAUGAUAACUUUCACAGACCUGUACUGAAAUACUGUGAUUGCAAAUAUAAUAUCUGAUGAGAGACCUUUUUAUUUUUUUUUUCUCCUUCAAUAUCCAGUGUUGGGUAAUUAGUGAGGCAGAGUUUCUCUCGGGCCUCCACAUGGUCCUCCAGGCCCCUGACUAACCAUGCUCUCUCUUCUUGCAGUUAGUCUGCUGGAGCUGCAGCAGCUGGCCAGCAUCUUUGACCUCCUGGUCCGGUUUGCUGUUAAAAGAAAGAUGUUUAUCUCAAGACUAACUUCUCAACAGCCCACUGUGCAGUGGGUGCCGAUUUUGGCUGCAGACUGCAUGUCCUUGAAAGACUAUAGGUGAUGCUGUGUAAAGUGAAAACCUGUUGCUGAACAUGGCUUUGGCCAGUGAUGAGUUCUUUGCCUGGAAGGCUGAGGAUGUUUUCAGAUAGGGAGUUAUCCCUCUGAAGCACAGAUGUUUGGCAAAUUGAGUUCUUGGCUCAGAAGUGCUCGCUUGGCUACAGUUGUCAUGGGUUGCUUUUUUUUCCUCUCAAAAACAGGCAAACUUGGUUUACAGUGGAUUCCAGGUGGGCCUGGCAGUUUGUCUUAAGCAGCUGAAACUGGAUGACCCUGGGUGUCCUUUGGAACAAACAUUUCCUUGAGAUCUGUAAGCCUGUGCAUGAAGAUACUGGAGCUGCCCUGAAUAAGGUCAUCUCCGCUUCCACUGUACAACUAGUCAACUCGGUGCUGGAGGCCAUGGACAUGAAGUUAUGCCUGUAAAUGCUGUAAAGACUUAAUAAAGCUCUUGAGUGAAA